rnacentral:rRNA from 1 species
UCAAACCGGGAGAUAGCUGGUUCUCCCCGAAAGCUAUUUAGGUAGCGCCUCGUGAAUUCAUCUCCGGGGGUAGAGCACUGUUUCGGCAAGGGGGUCAUCCCGACUUACCAACCCGAUGCAAACUGCGAAUACCGGAGAAUGUUAUCACGGGAGACACACGGCGGGUGCUAACGUCCGUCGUGAAGAGGGAAACAACCCAGACCGCCAGCUAAGGUCCCAAAGUCAUGGUUAAGUGGGAAACGAUGUGGGAAGGCCCAGACAGCCAGGAUGUUGGCUUAGAAGCAGCCAUCAUUUAAAGAAAGCGUAAUAGCUCACUGGUCGAGUCGGCCUGCGCGGAAGAUGUAACGGGGCUAAACCAUGCACCGAAGCUGCGGCAGCGACGUUUAUGCGUUGUUGGGUAGGGGAGCGUUCUGUAAGCCUGCGAAGGUGUACUGUGAGGUAUGCUGGAGGUAUCAGAAGUGCGAAUGCUGACAUAAGUAACGAUAAAGCGGGUGAAAAGCCCGCUCGCCGGAAGACCAAGGGUUCCUGUCCAACGUUAAUCGGGGCAGGGUGAGUCGACCCCUAAGGCGAGGCCGAAAGGCGUAGUCGAUGGGAAACAGGUUAAUAUUCCUGUACUUGGUGUUACUGCGAAGGGGGGACGGAGAAGGCUAUGUUGGCCGGGCGACGGUUGUCCCGGUUUAAGCGUGUAGGCUGGUUUUCCAGGCAAAUCCGGAAAAUCAAGGCUGAGGCGUGAUGACGAGGCACUACGGUGCUGAAGCAACAAAUGCCCUGCUUCCAGGAAAAGCCUCUAAGCAUCAGGUAACAUCAAAUCGUACCCCAAACCGACACAGGUGGUCAGGUAGAGAAUACCAAGGCGCUUGAGAGAACUCGGGUGAAGGAACUAGGCAAAAUGGUGCCGUAACUUCGGGAGAAGGCACGCUGAUAUGUAGGUGAAGUCCCUCGCGGAUGGAGCUGAAAUCAGUCGAAGAUACCAGCUGGCUGCAACUGUUUAUUAAAAACACAGCACUGUGCAAACACGAAAGUGGACGUAUACGGUGUGACGCCUGCCCGGUGCCGGAAGGUUAAUUGAUGGGGUUAGCGGUAACGCGAAGCUCUUGAUCGAAGCCCCGGUAAACGGCGGCCGUAACUAUAACGGUCCUAAGGUAGCGAAAUUCCUUGUCGGGUAAGUUCCGACCUGCACGAAUGGCGUAAUGAUGGCCAGGCUGUCUCCACCCGAGACUCAGUGAAAUUGAACUCGCUGUGAAGAUGCAGUGUACCCGCGGCAAGACGGAAAGACCCCGUGAACCUUUACUAUAGCUUGACACUGAACAUUGAGCCUUGAUGUGUAGGAUAGGUGGGAGGCUUUGAAGUGUGGACGCCAGUCUGCAUGGAGCCGGCCUUGAAAUACCACCCUUUAAUGUUUGAUGUUCUAACGUUGGCCCCUGAUCGGGGUUGCGGACAGUGUCUGGUGGGUAGUUUGACUGGGGCGGUCUCCUCCUAAAGAGUAACGGAGGAGCACGAAGGUUGGCUAAUCCUGGUCGGACAUCAGGAGGUUAGUGCAAUGGCAUAAGCCAGCUUGACUGCGAGCGUGACGGCGCGAGCAGGUGCGAAAGCAGGUCAUAGUGAUCCGGUGGUUCUGAAUGGAAGGGCCAUCGCUCAACGGAUAAAAGGUACUCCGGGGAUAACAGGCUGAUACCGCCCAAGAGUUCAUAUCGACGGCGGUGUUUGGCACCUCGAUGUCGGCUCAUCACAUCCUGGGGCUGAAGUAGGUCCCAAGGGUAUGGCUGUUCGCCAUUUAAAGUGGUACGCGAGCUGGGUUUAGAACGUCGUGAGACAGUUCGGUCCCUAUCUGCCGUGGGCGCUGGAGAACUGAGGGGGGCUGCUCCUAGUACGAGAGGACCGGAGUGGACGCAUCACUGGUGUUCGGGUUGUCAUGCCAAUGGCACUGCCCGGUAGCUAAAUGCGGAAGAGAUAAGUGCUGAAAGCAUCUAAGCACGAAACUUGCC